GGAGGGGCGGGGCAGAACUCUCGCCUUGGCUGCCUGAGUGAGUGUGAGUGUGAGAGCGAGAACAGCCCGCAGGUCCCGAGGCGCUUGCAAGGGGACUCUGCCGCGGAAAGUUCCCAGUCCCCAGCCGCAGCUACUCUGGAAAACAAGAAGAGAAACCAACCCAAACCCAACCAAAACCACAAAAAUAUGUGAAAUCCUUACAGCAGAAAUGAUGGGCAUUUCUGAUAAGAGAUACUGAAUGAAGAGUAGUGCUGUCCCUGAAAUCACUUCUGGAUCAUCCCUCUCACCUGAUGCUGCCUACCUUGGAGACUGAGGGAAAUUUGGAAAAGGGAACUGAAGUCUCACAAUUUGGAAGUCUCCCUUGAAAGAAGUGUUGAGGACAGCUUUACCUUAUGCUCGCAUAGAGAAACUCAUCUAGAGUAAGAGUCUCUCAUCUCCAGGAUAAGAUCCAGGGUGAUGCCCAUCGUACUUUAUGUACACGUUGUGACACAGAAAACUGAAAGGAUGCUGGUUGGAAAGCCCAUGCCUUCCAUUUAUGCCACAGCUCACAGCUCUGGAGUUUCGAUUAAGGGCUUGGUGAAUACAUACAGCCUUGUGGAUAUACUUCUAUAGCUACUUGAACCACAAGACUCCAGAGCCGACACAUUAAACCCAGUACCUCUCCACAGAGAAGGGCCGAGUCACUGAGAAAGCCUCUAGUGUGAUAUGGCCCUUUCUCUUAAAGCAUGAAGCAGAGGAAACAUACUUCAAGACUCAGCAAAGUUCCAUUGGCAUUGUACAGAGUUUCACACACCAGGCAUGUAAAUCUCAGAUGGAACUCACAUUUAUGACAUUUGAAUUUAGUAAUAGCAAAUUUUUCUGUGGUUCAUAAGUGAAAAUUUGUAGCAACCUUGUUGUUCAGAGAGCUGUUCCCCAAAUACUGGAGCAUGAUAAUAGACACCAUGUAUGUGUUGCUACUUUUUCAUUGAGUGGCAGAUGGGAUGCAUGCACUGACCUCCACUACUUCAGUGCUGAAAUUCUAAAUCCCUCUUCUCUCUUUUCGACUGGACAUCUGGAGCUUGGCCUGGUGUUUGGCUGUGGAUCUACAUAUGCUUCCAUCAGUUACUGGAGAAAGCCUCUAUGAUGACAGCUAAGGGCAAGCCAUGUGUCCCUCUUUGUGUCCUCCUUGUUAGCUAGCUUCUCUGGAGCUAUGAGUUGUAGACUGGUUAUCAUUUGGUUAUCCGGAUGGAUCUCUGCCUUCAGAAUGCUAGGAUUAAAGAUUUAGUAUAAGAAGCUCAGAUGAGAGAGAACACCUGGAAUUUGUCUUUCUGGGAGAAGGAAGAUGAGCCUGGUUGCAUGUACUCUAUGGAUAGUGUCAUUCAUAUUCAGUCCCCUAAAAAGAUGUCUUCCUCCACAGACAACACGAAACAGUCUAGAGAAUGUAACACCACACUCCCAAGAGGACUUGACCAUUAUCCCAAUUUUCUUGAGUUCCCCUGAAGAUUUCAUCAUCCCCAGGAAGCAGAGAUAAGUCUAGAGAAUGUGACACCCACAUUCCCAAGAGGUGAGGUGGGUGGUUUUGGUCAUUCAAUGUUUGUCAUUAUUUAGAAGUGUUGGUUACAAGUCGAUAUUGGUCAUGGUCAGAAAAAAAGCGGAACAAAAGAGAUUAGAUUCAGGGGUCUCUUUCUGAAGGGAAAAACAGGGGAUAUAGUAUAGAAAUGAUGGAUAAAAGAGAAGACUUUUGGGUCUGCUUUUGAACUAAAAAACAACUACUAGUCUCAAAUAUUUUACAUUGGUAUGGAUUUUUACAUAUUGAUACAAAUUUAAUGUAAUAUUUGUUAGACUAUAUAUAUGUUUCUAAUUUUCUUUAAGGUAUUAUAACUAUGCAGGUCACUUAAAAAUGUAAAGUUCUAGUUCUUGAAAGCUAUUAUUAUAAACCAUUUAGGAUAAUUAAGUAACACAGAUUAGUAGUUAGUCAUCUAUAACAAUCCAACUUGCAAUCAUGUUAGGUAUGUUUUCAAUGUCAAUAGAGAUAUAUUUUAGAUAGGUGGUCUUCAAACACUUCAGAGAUCUACAGACUAUGGUAUUUAAAAAGUUGUAAGACUUUUCAUGACAAAGAAACACAUCUUUUCAUGGCAGCACCAAUCUACUACAGAGAAGAUGAUGGGCAUCAAAGAACCUCUAUACGGAGUUUCCUUUCUUGGGGACAAGAUAGCCACUAGGCAAGAAACUGCCAUUGUCUCAACUGCUGACAAUAUGCUGUCCAAAUUGGACAAGCAGGACACAAAAGAAAACCACUAUCAAACUUUGCCUUGAUAAGAUGGGACAGUCCUUCAAAAUUCCUGCUUCACAGAAAAUUCUAUCAGAUAUUCUGAGCAUGUACACCAAAAAGGGAUGCCCCAAUGUUACAGAGGAACCUUGUGUGACUGUCCAGGGAUACUCCUUAUGAAGACAUGAAGAACUUCACUGUGAAACCCAGUGAGUUUAACCUAUGAGAUAUGCAGUUGCACCUUACUGUUUCAAGCUGAAAGUCCUUAAUGGUGAAUGAUGGCAAACAUGAUUCACUUGGCUCACAUGCAACUUAUGUUUCCCAUGGAAAUGCUUUAAUUCAUAUAAACUUACAUUGAUUUCAUUAAUAAUCACAACAAAUUUUUUUGGGACAUAGAAUUUGUUUCACUGAAUCUACAGUACAAGUGUGGAGAUAUGAAAUUUUGAAAAAACAGAGUCUUUUUAUCCAUAAAUGUGGGUCACAUCUUCAUCAAGAUAAUCUGGUUUCUAAUAUUGUUUUUCAUUUUUCUACUAUGGAUUCUGUGCAGGACCUUGUUAACAGCUCUUAUGAGAGUGGAUACUAUUGCUUUUAUGCUGAUCUCAGCAGAAGAGCCUCCAUUGUCACAGCAUGAAGUAUGGUGUCUCCAGAAACUAUUUAAAAAAUAUCCAUUAUGGAGGUACUUGUUCCCUUUGCUCUAUGCUGUGCCCCAGCAUGUAAUUAAAACGACCAAAACACAAUCCAGACAUGCAAAAUCCAGACACGCAUCUUACCGGAAAUUCUAUCCACCUCUUUCGCUGGACUCAUGCAGCCUGUUUUGUUUAGGCUGUCGUUCAAGGCAACAUAGUCUCAGGGCAGACUUCCUGGUCUUCUGGCUCCUAUAAUCAUUCUGCCCUCUCUUCUGUGAUGUUCAUGUGCCUCAGGUACUGGAGUUUUAUUGUAGAUGGACACAUCAGCACCAGGGAUCCCAUGAUCCAUUGAUCUCUGCAUUUUGUCCAGUUAUAGUUUUCUGUGAUAGUCUCCAUUUGCGUAAAGAGAAGCUUCUUUGAUGAGGGUUAAGAGCUACAUUUCUCUGAAUGUGUAAGGAUAAUGCUUAGAAUGUAGUUAGGACUUACAUUGGUCAAGUAAAGUGUUGCACCCCCACUUCCAGAGAAACAACAAAUGUGAUGGCUCAUGGACUCCUAAAGAACACAUCACCCCUCAAUUCACUGCUGGUACCACUUCUCCAUGCUUAACCAGGCACCUACUCAACAACCAGAACCUGACUUUCCAAGAUAUCCCAAUGAAGGCCAUAUCUGCUCUAGUGUUUCAUUCAUUCACAAUUUCCUCUUCUAUACAACCAGGGCACUUAUUUGUUCCAUUCUUUCUGGCAGUUAUCACUCUUCCCAAGUCUAAGAACUCUCAUGAGACCAAUGAUAACAUUCUACUUUUUUUUUUCCAUAACAACCUUCCCUCUCAGCUCUCUGAAGGAACAGGUGACUGAGAUCUCCACACCUAAGAUUUCCACUAUGACAUUCAACUGAAAUGCUUCUUCACUCACACAUCCUUCCAUUCAUGACUCUGACUUCCAACUUCCCCAUCCCACUUUACCACAAAUUAGCAGGAAGUAGUCUCAAGAAUUUAGCACCCUUAUUCCCCUAUUUGCUAUCCAUAACUCACCUUUCUAUAAUAAUCAAAAUGGAGGAAUGUUGACAUUCUGGCCCACACCUUGGGACCCACCCUAUGUCCUGAUGUAAAUCCCCCCCCCCACCAUGCAGAUGCUGUGUCUGGGGUAUGAGUGGCUUUCCAGUGUGCCACACUACAGCCUGCCCCCUUGUCUGCAUGGUGUGUAUGCCUCAACUGCUGCAGGGCAGCUUGGGUCCACCCACCAAGGCCUGCAUGCCAUAUUAUUGCAAUGAUAAUGAAUUUUCUUCCAGCAUUUAGAUCCUCCAUAUCCCAGAGUGGUUGGUCGGUCAGGUUUCUAGUACCAGGCAUGAUUUCCCAUUGAACAGGAAUUAAGUUCAGUUAGAUGUCUGUUGAUCACCACCUACAAGUGCCACCACUGCCUCAAUAGGGAUGUAUUGUCCAACUGGACAUUGUUGUAGUUCACAGGUCCCAGCUAAUUAGGAGUAUUUAUUGAUGCCCUCCAUGGCAGCUUGAAUAAUGAUAAUAUCUGGUACAGUAGAAAGUAGACCAUAACAUGAGGCUUUCAGGCUCACUCUUGCUUGUAUCAUCUGAGACCAAUAUACUGAAUGUAUAAUCUUCAGUAAUAGGCACUUACAUUCAAUGUCUGUGAGACAACCAAGAGCAAUAGCUAUUAUCUAUACCGUUUAAGAGUCAUGUGGACUUCCUUGAAACAACAACUCAAAUGGAAAUUUCUUCUGUCUAGCAUGUUUUUUUUUAUUAUACAGUCUAUGACUUUUGUUGGGAAUAAUGUCUGCUCAAGUGGUAAUUUUGCUAUAUACAUAUAUGUAUAUAUGGAUAUAUACACUUAUACACAUUGUAUGUAAUAUUAGGCAAAUAUAAAAUAUUUCCUUGAGUUUUUAUCACAACUGUGGCCUUCUUCUUCUUCUUUCUGAUAUCUUUUCAUCCUCUCCAAUCUGAACAUUUGGCACCUUUUUCCUUCCCCUUUUCACAUCACUUGUGUAUUGAUAUUCCCCUCUCAACUUCCAGCUGUCCCCAAUCUCCCUUUAUAUUCUUCCUGUUAUAUAUUUAUACCUGAAUAUUUGGAGCAAGGAACUACAGAUGAGUGAGAACAUGUGUUGUUUAUCUUUCUCUCUGGGUUAUUUCAAUCAAUAAAAUAUUUUCUGGGUCAAUAAACUUAC